CACUUUCUCAGAUCACAACAUCCAGAAAGUCCACUUGGUGCUUCACGUGCAAGGGCGCAUCAUUGAGCCUUUCCUGCGCCAGCUUGCCCGGAAGUACAACUGCGACAGGAUCAUCCAUUGCAGGUGCCACGCAUGCCUGCACCCAUGCUGUUAGCUGCCACAAGAAGUGUGGCCACACCAACCUCCGCCCCAAGAAGAAGGUCAAGCAAAGCCCCUCUGCUAGCUCCUUUCCCCAGAAGGUGGCCUCCUGCCCAAGCCCCAUAUA
rnacentral:lncRNA from 1 species